rnacentral:rRNA from 1 species
GUGUCAGCAGCCGCGGUAAUACAGAGGAGCCAAGCGUUGUCCGGAUUGACUGGGCGUAAAGCGCACGCAGGCGGUUGCGCGCGUGGGGUGUGAAAUCUGGCCGCUUAACGGCCAGGCGCCAUCCCAUACGGCGCGACUGGAGUGAUGCAGAGGUCGAUGGAAUUGCCGGUGUAGUGGUGAAAUGCGUAGAGAUCGGCAGGAACACCCAGGGGGAAACCAGUCGACUGGGCAUCUACUGACGCUGAGGUGCGAGAGCGUGGGGAGCGAACCGGAUUAGAUACCCUGGUAGUCC